GGAUGUGAUCAUACCAGCACUAAAGCACCGGAUCCCAUCGGAACUCCGAAGUUAAGCGUGCUUGGGCGAGAGUAGUACUAGGAUGGGUGACCUCCUGGGAAGUCCACGUGUUGCAUUCC
rnacentral:rRNA from 2 species